rnacentral:rRNA from 1 species
UACGUAGGGGGCGAGCGUUGUCCGAAGUUACUGGGCGUAAAGCGCGCGUAGGCGGUUUCUUAAGUUCGGGGUGAAAGGUUCAGCGCUCAACGCGAACAGUGCCUUGAAUACUGGGAGACUUGAGUUCGGGAGAGGGCAGUGGAAUUCCUGGUGUAGCGGUGAAAUGCGUAGAUAUCAGGAGGAACACCGAUGGCGAAGGCAGCUGCCUGGCCCUGAGCAACUGAACGCUGAGGUGAGCGAAGACGUGGGGAGCGAACAGG